GGAACCUGGUGGCCGCACUCCUUUAGGUGGACCAACACAUACCCAACAUGGGAAAGAAGACCAAGAGGACAGCCGACAGCUCUUCAUCAGAGGAUGAGGAGGAGUAUGUGGUGGAAAAGGUGUUGGACAGGCGCAUGGUUAAAGGGCAAGUGGAGUAUCUGCUGAAGUGGAAAGGCUUUUCUGAGGAGCACAACACUUGGGAACCUGAGAAGAACUUGGAUUGUCCUGAACUAAUUUCUGAGUUUAUGAAAAAGUACAAGAAGAUGAAGGAGGGAGAGAACAACAAGCCUAGGGAGAAGUCAGAAGGAAACAAGAGGAAAUCCAGUUUUUCCAACAGUGCUGAUGAUAUUAAAUCCAAAA
rnacentral:lncRNA from 1 species